UACGUAGGGUGCAAGCGUUGUCCGGAAUUAUUGGGCGUAAAGAGCUCGUAGGCGGUCUGUCGCGUCGGCUGUGAAAUCCCGAGGCUCAACCUCGGGUCUGCAGUCGAUACGGGCAAACUAGAGUAUUGCAGGGGAGACUGGAAUUCCUGGUGUAGCAGUGAAAUGCGUAGAUAUCAGGAGGAAUACCGAUGGCGAAGGCAGGUCUCUGGGCUGACACUGACGCUCAUGCACGAAAGCGUGGGAGCAAACAGG
rnacentral:rRNA from 1 species